rnacentral:rRNA from 1 species
GAUGAACGCUGGCGGCAUGCCUAAUACAUGCAAGUCGAGCGAACAGACGAGGAGCUUGCUCCUCUGACGUUAGCGGCGGACGGGUGAGUAACACGUGGAUAACCUACCUAUAAGACUGGGAUAACUUCGGGAAACCGGAGCUAAUACCGGAUAAUAUAUUGAACCGCAUGGUUCAAUAGUGAAAGACGGUUUUGCUGUCACUUAUAGAUGGAUCCGCGCCGCAUUAGCUAGUUGGUAAGGUAACGGCUUACCAAGGCAACGAUGCGUAGCCGACCUGAGAGGGUGAUCGGCCACACUGGAACUGAGACACGGUCCAGACUCCUACGGGAGGCAGCAGUAGGGAAUCUUCCGCAAUGGGCGAAAGCUUGACGGAGCAACGCCGCGUGAGUGAUGAAGGUCUUCGGAUCGUAAAACUCUGUUAUUAGGGAAGAACAAAUGUGUAAGUAACUAUGCACGUCUUGACGGUACCUAAUCAGAAAGCCACGGCUAACUACGUG